rnacentral:rRNA from 1 species
AUUGAACGCUGGCGGCAGGCCUAACACAUGCAAGUCGAACGGUAACAGGAAGAAGCUUGCUUCUUUGCUGACGAGUGGCGGACGGGUGAGUAAUGUCUGGGAAACUGCCUGAUGGAGGGGGAUAACUACUGGAAACGGUAGCUAAUACCGCAUAACGUCGCAAGACCAAAGAGGGGGACCUUCGGGCCUUUUGCCAUCGGAUGUGCCCAGAUGGGAUUAGCUAGUAGGUGGGGUAACGGCUCACCUAGGCGACGAUCCCUAGCUGGUCUGAGAGGAUGACCAGCCACACUGGAACUGAGACACGGUCCAGACUCCUACGGGAGGCAGCAGUGGGGAAUAUUGCACAAUGGGCGCAAGCCUGAUGCAGCCAUGCCGCGUGUAUGAAGAAGGCCUUCGGGUUGUAAAGUACUUUCAGCAGGGAGGAAGGGAGUAAAGUUAAUACCUUUGCUCAUUGACGUUACCCGCAGAAGAAGCACCGGCUAACUCCGUG